GACGAACGCUGGCGGCGUGCUUAACACAUGCAAGUCGAACGGAAAGGCCCUGCUUUUGUGGGGUGCUCGAGUGGCGAACGGGUGAGUAACACGUGAGUAACCUGCCCUUGACUUUGGGAUAACUUCAGGAAACUGGGGCUAAUACCGGAUAGGAGCUCCUGCUGCAGGGGGGGGGUUGGAAAUUUUCGGCGGUUGGGGAUGGACUCGCGGCUUAUCAGCUUGUUGGUGGGGUAGUGGCUUACCAAGGCUUUGACGGGUAGCCGGCCUGAGAGGGUGACCGGCCACAUUGGGACUGAGAUACGGCCCAGACUCCUACGGGAGGCAGCAGUGGGGAAUAUUGCACAAUGGGCGGAAGCCUGAUGCAGAAACGCCGCGUGCGGGAUGACGGCCUUCGGGUUAUAAACCGCUUUCGCCUGUGACGAAGCGUGAGUGACGGUAAUGGGUAAAGAAGCACCGGCUAACUACGUG
rnacentral:rRNA from 1 species